rnacentral:tRNA from 1 species
GCCGGGAUAGCUCAGUUGGUAGAGCAGGGGACUGAAAAUCCUCGUGC